UGCUUACCAAUGAUGGCAUGGAAAAAAAAAUGUCUGAACAAAUGAUUUCAAUGUGAUAUCAUUGUUUUUUCUGAGGUAAGCA
rnacentral:snoRNA from 1 species